rnacentral:lncRNA from 1 species
GUGGAGCCCGUCUGUUGUAGAAGUUCAGACGGAGUCCGGCUCUUGUAGGAGCUCGGAUGAAGUCCGCUAGCAAUAGAAGUUCGGAGUAGAGUUGAUCGUGGCUGGAAGAAGUCUGGAAGAGAUUCGAAGAAUAGUCGAUCACUGUAGAAAAUCGGCUGAUAGUGAAGCUCAGAGAGUGUUUGGAGCAGUCCGGUAGAUGAAUGGAGGAGCUCAUUAUUGGAGAAGUCCAGAUGGCACGAUAGGAG